GAGCACAUUGCCCAGUGGUCAUAGGCAUUAGGCCAGUAACCAAAAGGUCGCUGGUUCAAACCCUGCUGUGGUCA
rnacentral:tRNA from 1 species